ACGGGUGAAGGAGGAUCUUCUGUACCUUGCUCAGCUCCCAACGAGACAUCUAAAGGAUGAAGGCCCAUGCUUGAGAUCUUAUCUCGUGGAUGGCCCCGAUCAAGAAAAAACCCGAAAUUUCUUCCUCUCUUUGACUGAGGCAACUCGCCGAGCUUUCCUGCCAAAAGUAAACAAAGUGAAAGGACUCUCGAUGCCCGGGCGGGCGGGCGACAAUGGCGUCCAUAAUUGUACGGCUGCACAGUUGAGAAAAUGACGGCACAGCUGAGGGAGGAUCUUCUAUACCUUGCUUAGCUCACGAGACAGCUAAAGGAUGGAGGCCCAUACUCGAGAUCUUAUCUCGUGAAUGGCCCGUGAGCUUUCUGGCAUUGCCCUUCAUCCGAAACUGGGCAAGCACGCCCUCAUUUCUCAUUGGAUUUAUCAAUUACGUCGUGGUUUGAAUGUGUGCGGUCCGAAUGAACUUGCUCAAGUGGUCCUGACAUUGCACAGUCCUUUCGAAGAGACUUACAAUGGCCUGUCUCGUCGAUUUAGCGUUUUGCUCUUCUUCAUCAUGGGCGUCUUUCUCAGGCUCGAAAUUCGGGUUUCAUCUGACGACCAUUGAUGAAAGCCAUUCGGCUUAUCUUUUCAUUUAUUUUUAUUUUUUCUUUUUGGAAUUUUCACUGGAAAAUGAGAUGGUGAUGAAGAAUGAAGAUUCACCGGGUCACGUUGAAGGGGCUCUUUCGAGACUUUUUCCCAGGCACACAAUUUCUCCAGUAAAAAAGAGGAAGUCCUGAAUUUUGAAUCAGAAAUAGCGUUCUGAAAAGAUGCCAUGUGAGAAGUAGUGUCAACAAUGGUAAAUGUCCUUUUUUACAUUGAAACCAAGUAAGUCCAUGCGUCCACAAACGUAAAUUUGUAAUUCAGAUCGAGCAAUGGUACAUGCAUUGAAAAUUUUGGCUGAAGUUUUUCUACUAUUAAGUGAUGCGACGAUGCUUAGUAAGUGAACUUUAGUGUAAUUUCUCAGCGAGUCUAGCAUGUCCCGCUUGCGCUUUUAUGGAAAAGAUUGACUUUCACCAUCAAUACGCAAGAAAAUUACUCAGUCGAAUUUACUCGUUUGAUAAGGGGUAAGAGUACUGUUC
rnacentral:lncRNA from 1 species